rnacentral:rRNA from 1 species
AGAACGAACGCUGGCGGCAGGCUUAACACAUGCAAGUCGGGCGCCCCGCAAGGGGAGCGGCAGACGGGUGAGUAACGCGUGGGAACAUACCCUCCGGUUCGGAAUAGCUCAGGGAAACUUGGAUUAAUACCGGAUACGGCCUAGCGGCGAAAGAUUGAUCGCCGGAGGAUUGGCCCGCGUCUGAUUAGCUAGUUGGUGGGGUAAUGGCCCACCAAGGCGACGAUCAGUAGCUGGUCUGAGAGGAUGAUCAGCCACAUUGGGACUGAGACACGGCCCAAACUCCUACGGGAGGCAGCAGUGGGGAAUAUUGGACAAUGGGCGCAAGCCUGAUCCAGCCAUGCCGCGUGAGUGAUGACGGCCUUAGGGUUGUAAAGCUCUUUCGCUAGGGACGAUAAUGACGGUACCUAGACAAGAAGCCCCGGCUAACUUCGUGCCAGCAGCCGC